CAGCCGCCGCGGGAAUACGAAGGGUGCAAGCGCUAAUCGGAAUUACUGGGCGUAAAGCGCACGUAGGCGGCUUGGUAAGUUAGAGGUGAAAGCCUGGAGCUCAACUCCAGAAUUGCCUUUAAGACUGCCGAGCUAGCAGGUGAGAGAGGUAAGUGGAAUUCCGAGUGUAGAGGUGAAAUUCGUAGAUAUUCGGAAGAACACCAGUGGCGAAGGCGGCUUACUGGCUCAUACUGGACGCUGAGGUGCGAAAGCGUGGGGAGCAAACAGGAUUAGAUACCCCGGUAGUCCCUGUCUCUUAUAC
rnacentral:rRNA from 1 species